GGUCAAUGAUGUUUUGGCAUGUAUUAGCUGAUUCCAACGUUGAUGGAAAUUAUGAAAUUACACUGAGACCUU